rnacentral:misc_RNA from 1 species
UUUCCGUUGAUAGACCAAGAUCUUUGGUCAGAAGCAGAAUUAGCUAAGAAUUCCAGCAUGGAAUUCGCAUCAGACAGUAUGGUAGCAGCAGGAUUUUAUAGCAACUUUCCGAGAAUUGAUGAUGAUAACGAUAUGGAUUUCUGGUACAAUCUUUUUGUUAAAGCUGGGGACACACAGGAAUUACUAUAAUUUUUUUUGGAUGCCAAAUGAUUUUGAACAUCCAGGGGAAUCUUGCAGGCAUUUAUUUGACCGUUACCCUGGAAAACGAGAGUUAUCCAGAGUGGGCCAAAUUUGUCCAAAAGGAAGAAUAAAUAUAGAUAUCAUUCAUUGACGAGCAGAGAUUAUUCUAUGAUUUGUGGGCGUUUUUGAAGGGAAAUGACACACAGAAGAAUUAAAGGAGAAGAGACGAUGAGGC